CACCAACAGCAGCAGCAA
rnacentral:miRNA from 1 species